ACCUAGUGGUUCCCAGUGCAUGUCGUGGUUGAAGGGUGAAACAAGAAGGGGGCAAUUCCUUUGUUUUUUGUAAUGACACAAAAUGCUUUCCACAUCUCCCUCUCCCAAACUCCCCCCCCCCAAAAAAGGAGGAAGGGGUUAAAGCAAGGACAGCAAAUGGAAUCAGCUAUGAAAUGAGAAUGGCUUCUUUACAAUUUCUCUCACUCAUCCCUAAAAAUCUCCCCACUCUCAAACCCAGCCUGGCUUCCCUAGGUCGAUUGCAUUCACCAGGGCUCCAUGUCAAUGUAUCAGAGCUGUGGUUACAAGGCUACGGAGAAGGCUCAGCCAUGAGCUGCAGUUGUAAAGCAGGAUGGGGGGGAGAGGCGGAGAAGGGGGGGGGGCACAGCGCUGCCAAGGCGGCUCUAGCCCUGCUGAAGGGAAUUGAUUAGAAAUCUCUCUGGCCAAGGGCUGCUUUGCUGUUUUGUAAUCCAGUCUGAAGUCCCCUCCCUCUAUGCCCUUUUCCUGGGCCUCAAAGGUCCUACAAGAGAGCAAGGGGACCACCUGAAAAUACUGGUACAGGCCACCCACUCAGUCAUUUCAGGCUUCUGUCAACCCCUCCUCUUUCAGCUGAUAAUUUACAAAGAGGAAUAUAAGAUUUAACACCUCUCUUUCCCACAUAUUUUACCAUACAGCUUGCAAAAAAGAACCUUUAUUAAUCAGAUAAUGGUUCAGAGCCAUUUUUCACAUGUCCUGAGGGCUCGUGCUUAAAACAACUAUCAAACAGAGGGGCGUGGGCCAGCUAUAUGAACCACUCCAUCAGUUAUUUACACAUUGUAUCAUAAUAUAAAUCAAAGCUCCAUAAACUGUUGCUUAUGUGUCCAAGUGCUUGGAUAAAACUUAAUUUGCUAAUCAUCUAAGUUAGAUUUGUUUGGGAGGCUAUUGGGUUUCUAGCUUCAGCUGCUAUAUAAAAUCCUGCUUCACAGAACUCUGGUGGUUUUCAGGCAAAGUGCAGGAAUACAAACAGCACAUGAGACUAAAGUAUCUCCUCCCGUCCCUUGACAGCUUUAUGUAAAAAUCUGUCCCCUUCAUACCUCUCCUGUCCCAUACUAUUUUAAAAUAUAAGCAUGUUGGGUUACUCCAGUUUCAAACAAGUACAACUGUUCGUGCUUGUAAUACCAGGCUGUUUUAGUACCUCGCCUAAUAAUAUCAAAAACAUACCAAUUACUCACAUCUCAUUAGCAUCUAUACAAAAUUAUUUGUUGCGGGAACAUUUAGAUUCACAAUGGCUUCUCUCCACAAUCAAUUGCCUAACUAAUAAUGUUCAAAAUGUACAUAAACUUUUGUCUUAACUUGACCAGCACGCUGCUUUCCUCUUUCCUGUGAAGAAUAUCCUCCAAAGAAAAGACCCUAUAAGCAAUAUUGCACUACUACCCUGAUCACAAAAGCAGAGGCAAUAUUGAUAGGGUCUCUUCCUUAAGGGUAGGAAGCUGGAUUGUGCUUCCUGCAGCAGGUGGCUGGAUCUUCCAUUACAGGUCUGCAAAUAUGGAAGAGGUAAAAGUUAGAAAAUAAAUCAUCCCUAGAAAAUAGAGCAUCCCUAUAAAGAAUUAUUCACCCCCUUUGAAAGGGGAAUCAGAAAGGUUAGCAAGUGAGAGAAACGUUUAAGUGUAUGAGUGUUUUGGAAAAUAGACUCUCAUUGCUCCUCCCCCCCCUUUCCCACCACCAAUAACAAAUAUUUAAUUCCAGCAUGUAUUUUACCCAGAUUUCUAUACUCAUUCUUGGAAAGGUGACAUAAUCUUUCUAAAUCCAGAUUGUUUCCUCUCUUUUGUCUAAAAUACCAGAUCACGUAGUUGCCCAAGGUAGAAGAUGGGAAGGUUUACUAUUUAUUUUAUUACUAGAUAGUUAUAUUUUGAACCUAUGUAACGUGCUUCCGAACUUGUAGGAUUCCCUUUCUAGGGUUUUACUGCUUACAUGGACCAGAGGUUUAAAAUAUCUCUCUGAAUCCUGUGUUGGAAAAAAGAGCAUUAAACACAGAGAUUAGAAAGCGAAACAAGGUCUGUAUAGAUGACUCCGUGGCUCAGUCCCUAAAAUAACAUACACAAUUACAAAGUAAUAUCUGAGCUGUUUCCCUGAGAAGGUUCAUUUUGUGCCAUAAUUAAAGGCAGGAAAGUUCUGUAGACAGAGGUGCCUGUUCUACACACUGGUGUUCUCAACACAUUGGUGACCACAUAUAUAAGUCUCACAGAAGAGGCAGGACACCUCCACAUCUUCUCCAAAUUCAGAGCUGCUUCACUAAGUCAACCUGCUUUGCUCUAGUUGAGUUAUUAUAUAAACCUGCCCCAUUAUACCCAUUAUCUAGUAACACUUGAGAAUCUAGGGUGAAAAGGAAGGACACUUUAUUCCCAGGCCAUCCCAACCCAAUUCACAAAUUUGACACUUUAAGCUUCUCUUUCCUCAGUCUACUUGCCAGUAGGUGAAAGAAUGGAAUGGAGAGACAAUCCUCUAAUUCAUGGAUUCUUGGCUAAUUUAUGCAUUCCACAUUGAUCUGGUCUUGGUCAUUAGAGAUUCCUGGAGUUUGGCACUCUGGUGUGAGACAGCUCUCUGUCCCCUUUGAUGAUAGUUCACUGGCCAAAAGAAACUAAAACACAAGAACACUGUCCAGAAGCGGGAUCAGAGCAAUGAUGCAUUAAUUGUUUUUAAAAUAGACUGAUAAAAAAAACACAUCCAAUUUGCCCCUCACUUCCCAUCCACCCCAUUUUUCAGGUAUUUUUUGGAGGCAGAUA